AGCAGUAGCCGCGGGAAUACGUAGGUCCCGAGCGUUGUCCGGAUUUAUUGGGCGUAAAGCGAGCGCAGGCGGUUAGAUAAGUCUGAAGUUAAAGGCUGUGGCUUAACCAUAGUACGCUUUGGAAACUGUUUAACUUGAGUGCAAGAGGGGAGAGUGGAAUUCCAUGUGUAGCGGUGAAAUGCGUAGAGAUCGGAAAGAACACCAACGGCGAAAGCACUCUGCUGGGCCGACUCUGACACUGAGAGACGAAAGCUAGGGGAGCAAAUGGGAUUAGAUACCCCUGUAGUCCCUGUCUCUUAUACA
rnacentral:rRNA from 1 species